rnacentral:rRNA from 1 species
UACGUAGGGGGCAAGCGUUGUCCGGAAUCAUUGGGCGUAAAGAGCGUGUAGGCGGCUCGAUAAGUCUGCUGUGAAAGUCCAGGGCUCAACCCUGGAAGGCCGGUGGAAACUGUCGGGCUAGAGUCCGGAAGAGGCGAGUGGAAUUCCCGGUGUAGCGGUGAAAUGCGCAGAUAUCGGGAGGAACACCAAUGGCGAAGGCAGCUCGCUGGGACGUCACUGACGCUGAGACGCGAAAGCGUGGGGAGCAAACAGG